rnacentral:rRNA from 1 species
GAUGAACGCUGGCGGCGUGCUUAACACAUGCCAGUUGAACGAUGAAGCCCAGCUUGCUGGGUGGAUUAGUGGUGAACGGGUGAGUAACACGUGAGUAACCUGCCCUUAACUCUGGGAUAAGCCUGGGAAACUGGGUCUAAUACCGGAUAGGAGCGUCCACCGCAUGGUGGGUGUUGGAAAGAUUUAUCGGUUUUGGAUGGACUCGCGGCCUAUCAGCUUGUUGGUGAGGUAAUGGCUCACCAAGGCGACGACGGGUAGCCGGCCUGAGAGGGUGACCGGCCACACUGGGACUGAGACACGGCCCAGACUCCUACGGGAGGCAGCAGUGGGGAAUAUUGCACAAUGGGCGCAAGCCUGAUGCAGCGACGCCGCGUGAGGGAUGACGGCCUUCGGGUUGUAAACCUCUUUCAGUAGGGAAGAAGCGAAAGUGACGGUACCUGCAGAAGAAGCACCGGCUAACUACGUG